rnacentral:rRNA from 1 species
CAGGCGCGAAAACUUUACAAUGCGGGAAACCGUGAUAAGGGGACACCGAGUGCCAGCAUCAUAUGCUGGCUGUCCGGGUGUGUAAAAUACACCUGUUAGCAAGGGCCGGGCAAGACCGGUGCCAGCCGCCGCGGUAACACCGGCGGCCCGAGUGGUGAUCGUGAUUAUUGGGUCUAAAGGGUCCGUAGCCGGUUUGGUCAGUCCUCCGGGAAAUCUGAUAGCUCAACUAUUAGGCUUUCGGGGGAUACUGCCAGGCUUGGAACCGGGAGAGGUAAGAGGUACUACAGGGGUAGGAGUGAAAUCUUGUAAUCCCUGUGGGACCACCUGUGGCGAAGGCGUCUUACCAGAACGGGUUCGACGGUGAGGGACGAAAGCUGGGGGCACGAACCGGAUUAGAUACCCGGGUAGUCCCAGCCGUAAACGAUGCUCGCUAGGUGUCAGGCAUGGCGCGACCGUGUCUGGUGCCGCAGGGAAGCC